rnacentral:rRNA from 1 species
AUUGAACGCUGGCGGCAGACCUAACACAUGCAUGUCGAACGGUAACAGGAAGCAGCUUGCUGCUUCGCUGACGAGUGGCGGACGGGUGAGUAAUGUCUGGGAAGCUGCCUGAUGGAGGGGGAUAACUACUGGAAACGGUAGCUAAUACCGCAUAAUGUCGCAAGACCAAAGAGGGGGACCUUCGGGCCUCUUGCCAUCGGAUGUGCCCAGAUGGGAUUAGCUUGUUGGUGGGGUAACGGCUCACCAAGGCGACGAUCCCUAGCUGGUCUGAGAGGAUGACCAGCCACACUGGAACUGAGACACGGUCCAGACUCCUACGGGAGGCAGCAGUGGGGAAUAUUGCACAAUGGGCGCAAGCCUGAUGCAGCCAUGCCGCGUGUAUGAAGAAGGCCUUCGGGUUGUAAAGUACUUUCAGCGGGGAAGAAGGGAGUAAAGUUAAUACCUUUGCUCAUUGACGUUACCCGCAGAAGAAGCACCGGCUAACUCCGUG